rnacentral:rRNA from 1 species
UUCCGGUUGAUCCCGCCGGACCCGACUGCUAUCAGAGUGGGACUAAGCCAUGCGAGUCGACGUAGCAAUGCGUGGCGAACGGCUCAGUAACACGUAGUCAACAUGCCCAGGGGACGUGGAUAACCUCGGGAAACUGAGAAUAAACCACGAUAGGUCACGAUUUCUGGAAUGGAUCAUGGCAUAAAUCUACAUGGCCCCUGGAUUGGACUGCGGCCGAUCAGGCAGUUGGUGAGGUAAUGGCCCACCAAACCUAUAACCGGUACGGGCUCUGAGAGGAGAAGCCCGGAGAUGGGCACUGAGACAAGGGCCCAGGCCCUAUGGGGCGCAGCAGGCGCGAAACCUCUGCAAUAGGCGAAAGCCUGACAGGGUUACUCUGAGUGAUUUCCGCUAAGGGGAUCUUUUGGCACCUCUAAAAAUGGUGCAGAAUAAGGGGUGGGCAAGUCUGGUGUCAGCCGCCGCGGUAAUACCAGCACCCCGAGUGGUCGGGACGAUUAUUGGGCCUAAAGCAUCCGUAGCCGGUUCUGCAAGUCUUCCGUUAAAUCCAGCCGCUCAACGGAUGGGCCGCGGAGGAUACUAUAGGACUAGGAGGCGGGAGAGGCAAGCGGUACUCAGUGGGUAGGGGUAAAAUCCUUUGAUCCAUUGAAGACCACCAGUGGCGGAGGCGGCUUGCCAGAACGCGCUCGACGGUGAGGGAUGAAAGCUGGGGGAGCAAACCGGAUUAGAUACCCGGGUAGUCCCAG